UGAGUGAGCGAUUGUGACGGUGAAAUCAAGAAGAAGGAGAGGGAUUACGGUUUUUGUUUGAAGAAUAAAAUGAAUGGUUGUGAGCGGUUUUGCGUGUGGGAAGAAAAAGGAUAGGUUUUUUGUGGUGCAGAAAAUUAUUUUUAGAGGAAGGAUCCUUUGGUAGAUGCAGGAUCUUCUCCCAUUCUUCCCACGAAUAUGUUCUCUUUUUAAGUUUUC
rnacentral:lncRNA from 1 species